CAGUGGUUUCCAUGCACUGGGUGCUGUGGGCUGUCAUGGGUUGGCACGAAUCAAAGUAAUUUAGGAGCAGUACUGAGUGCUCUGAAAAGUAGAGGAAAACAAGGAAAACAUUCUGGUGGAGCUGCCUGCACAAAUGUGUCUCUGGCACAGUAAGUGUUGCAUUUUCAAAAUGAAACUUUUUGUUUUGGUUAGGUUUUUUUCUGGUUUUUGUUCAUUCAUAGUGGAAGCCAAAUUCUGCUGAUUCUCAACUUUCCUUUUCUGUUUUUUGUUUCUUCCAUAUUUCCAGCUUUCCCUGUCUUUCACUGCACGUGUUCUUUUUUUCUGUGCUUAUUUUUCCCGUUCCUCUGUUCCAGUGAAGCAUGAGGGCAGGCAAUGUCUGCCAUGUGAGAAUAGAAAUAUCAUGCAAAAAAAGAGGAACUUCCAAGGCACCAGCUUCCUAACUCAAUCUAUGCCAAUUACCCUCCACCCCCAUAUUUUUCAGUAGGAAAUGAGGAAUUGUCUACUGUGCCUUAUUCUAGCAAUAAUGCACAUUAAUAAAAUUGCCUUCACAGAACUUUUUCACAUUUUAUAGAGGGCAAGAAGCCUCUUGGGCUUUAGUUCUUGCAUCUAGAUCAUUUGAGAAAAUAAAUUCCUGAGAAAUUGAAAGCAUUUGUGAUCGCAGCUGUGACAGAUCAGAGCCCAGAGCAGGCUGGGCUUCUUAGGGCUCUGCAGAAGCCAUGGCUGUGCUCAUCCCACCGUCCCUCUGGAGCCAGCAGCAAUGCCUGUCCUCAUCCCACUGUCCCUCUGGAGCCAGCAGCAAUGCCUGUGCUCAUUCCAUUGUCCCUCUGGAGCCAGCAGUGAUGCCUGUGCUCAUCCCACUGUCCCUCUGGAGCCAGCAGUGAUGCCUGUGCUCAUUCCAUUGUCCCUCUGGAGCCAGCAGUGAUGCCUGUGCUCAUCCCACUGUCCCUCUGGAGCCAGCAGCGAUGCCUGUGCUCAUCCCAUUGUCCCUCUGGAGCCAGAAGCAGGGCAGCAGAUGCACCUCCACAUCUUCCUGCAGUAGUGUCAGCCUGUGAAGGCUUCCUCAUUAAGAAAGAGUAUGUUCAGCUCACAUGGGACUGGAUCAGAUACUUGAUUCCCUUUCUCUCUUGCUACAAACACCAACUUUGGACAAUUUUAUUCUGACCAGAAGGGCUGCUUUUACCUUAAAAAUAUCUGGAUUUAUUUCCUCUUCAUCUUCGUCUGUGACUGUUUUGUAAGCACAUAAAAAAAAGGGAAGAAAACAUAGAUGUCAAGUUUUAGCCCUCAUACUUCUGCUUCUUCACCACAAAACCUGCUUCACAUUCUCUUGUCACACAACAUGACCACUUUUUAUUUGUGCCCACCCCAGAUUCCUCACAGCCCUUCAUCUCUGAUGCUCUUCAACAACUGCAUGUGGAGGUGCAGGGCUCCAGCCAGCUCUGCCUCCCUCUGCCUCAACAGAGCAGAGCCCACUUGCUGUGGAAGAUGAUAGCAGGAAGAUGAUUUGCACCCCGAGUGAAGAACCACUCUGAUCUAUCCAUGUUAAUUAUUUAUUUCCCAGUGGCAAGCAUGGCUACCUCCACCAUCUCUGCUGGAGCAGGAGGCAUUUCAGAGCUUUUCACCCAUGGGUAGGUGGCAUG